GACAGAGGGUGCAAACGUUGUUCGGAAUUACUGGGCGUAAAGCGCGUGUAGGCGGCCAAGCAAGUCGGGUGUGAAAGCCCGGGGCUCAACCCCGGGUCGGCCAUGCGAACUGCCCGACUGGAGCACGGUAGAGGCCAAUGGAAUUCCGGGUGUAGCGGUGGAAUGCGUAGAGAUCCGGAAGAACACCGGUGGCGAAGGUGGUUGGCUGGGCCGUGGCUGACACUGAGGCGCGACAGCGUGGGGAGCAAACAGG
rnacentral:rRNA from 1 species